CGCUGAAGGGAGAGCUUGCUCUUCUGGAUGAGUUGCGAACGGGUGAGUAACGCGUAGGUAACCUGCCUGGUAGCGGGGGAUAACUAUUGGAAACGAUAGCUAAUACCGCAUAACAGUAGAUGUUGCAUGACAUUUGCUUAAAAGGUGCAAUUGCAUCACUACCAGAUGGACCUGCGUUGUAUUAGCUAGUUGGUGGGGUAACGGCUCACCAAGGCGACGAUACAUAGCCGACCUGAGAGGGUGAUCGGCCACACUGGGACUGAGACACGGCCCAGACUCCUACGGGAGGCAGCAGUAGGGAAUCUUCGGCAAUGGACGGAAGUCUGACCGAGCAACGCCGCGUGAGUGAAGAAGGUUUUCGGAUCGUAAAGCUCUGUUGUAAGAGAAGAACGAGUGUGAGAGUGGAAAGUUCACACUGUGACGGUAUCUUACCAGAAAGGGACGGCUAACUACGUGCCAGCAGCCGCGGUAAUACGUAGGUCCCGAGCGUUGUCCGGAUUUAUUGGGCGUAAAGCGAGCGCAGGCGGUUAGAUAAGUCUGAAGUUAAAGGCUGUGGCUUAACCAUAGUACGCUUUGGAAACUGUUUAACUUGAGUGCAAGAGGGGAGAGUGGAAUUCCAUGUGUAGCGGUGAAAUGCGUAGAUAUAUGGAGGAACACCGGUGGCGAAAGCGGCUCUCUGGCUUG
rnacentral:rRNA from 1 species